GGCGCCGCGGGCCGCGGGGACGAGAGGCCGCCGCCGCGCUCUGCUCGCACCCAGCCUCCCGCGGCCAUCGCGCCCGGCCCGGCUUCGGCCUCAGCCAGAAGAAUUAACUGUGAGCCCGCACAAUUUUAAGAACAAAGCCUUUAAAAAGUCCAAAGUCUGUGGCAUUUGCAAACAAAUCAUUGAUGGUCAAGGUAUUUCAUGCCGAGGUAAGUUCACGUAUGUAAUUUUUUUGCUGAUGUGCAGUGAGACAAACCCAUAAAAUACAAAAUAAGUGUGUUUUUCUUUUUUUUGGUGGUUUCCACAGACUCAUUUGGAAUUUCCCUUCAGAGCCCAUUUUCACCCCCGCCCUGUCUUGGUGGGGACCAACAGAAUUUGCACAAA
rnacentral:lncRNA from 1 species